rnacentral:rRNA from 1 species
UACGACGGGGGCUAGCGUUGUUCGGAUUUACUGGGCGUAAAGCGCACGUAGGCGGAUCGAUCAGUCAGGGGUGAAAUCCCAGAGCUCAACUCUGGAACUGCCUUUGAUACUGUCGAUCUGGAGUAUGGAAGAGGUGAGUGGAAUUCCGAGUGUAGAGGUGAAAUUCGUAGAUAUUCGGAGGAACACCAGUGGCGAAGGCGGCUCACUGGUCCAUUACUGACGCUGAGGUGCGAAAGCGUGGGGAGCAAACAGG